UAAUUUAUUUGAAUCAGAUUUCAUUUAAUUAUGACAAACCUAUACAUGACUGCUCAGAAUCAUUUGUUAUCGUAAGAUUGACUAUAUCAUUGACAUUAAAAAACAAAAGACAACUACUAUGUAAAUAAUAACCUUUUGAGAU
rfam:Populus trichocarpa scaffold_19_contig_535, whole genome shotgun sequence.